UAGGGAAUCUUCGGCAAUGGACGAAAGUCUGACCGAGCAACGCCGCGUGAGUGAAGAAGGUUUUCGGAUCGUAAAACUCUGUUGUUAGAGAAGAACAAGGACGUUAGUAACUGAACGUCCCCUGACGGUAUCUAACCAGAAAGCCACGGCUAACUACAUGCCAGCAGCCGCGGUAAUACGUAGGUGGCAAGCGUUGUCCGGAUUUAUUGGGCGUAAAGCGAGCGCAGGCGGUUUCUUAAGUCUGAUGUGAAAGCCCCCGGCUCAACCGGGGAGGGUCAUUGGAAACUGGGAGACGUGAGUGCAGAAGAGGAGAGUGGAAUUCCAUGUGUAGCGGUGAAAUGCGUAGAUAUAUGGAGGAACACCAGUGGCGAAGGCGGCUCUCUGGUCUGUAACUGACGCUGAGGCUCGAAAGCGUGGGGAGCAAACAGG
rnacentral:rRNA from 1 species